GUGGGGAAUAUUGGACAAUGGGCGCAAGCCUGAUCCAGCAAUGCCGCGUGAAGGAAGAAGGCUUUCGGGUUGUAAACUUCUUUUACCAGGGACGAAACAAAUGACGGUACCUGGUGAAUAAGCCACGGCUAACUACGUGCCAGCAGCCGCGGUAAUACGUAGGUGGCGAGCGUUAUCCGGAUUUAUUGGGUGUAAAGGGCGUGUAGGCGGGACAGCAAGUCAGAUGUGAAAACCAGAGGCUCAACCUCUGGCCUGCAUUUGAAACUGUUGUUCUUGAGUGUCGGAGAGGUAAUCGGAAUUCCGUGUGUAGCGGUGAAAUGCGUAGAUAUACGGAGGAACACCAGUGGCGAAGGCGGAUUACUGGACGAUAACUGACGCUGAGGCGCGAAAGCGUGGGGAGCAAACAGGAUUAGAUACCCUAGUAGUCC
rnacentral:rRNA from 1 species